rnacentral:misc_RNA from 1 species
UCCUCCCUCAAACCUCGUGUUUGGUGUUGGACCGCGUUGGUUAAACGACCAACUGGUCUCAAAGACAAUGACGGCGUCCGUGGGACCCUCGGUGCAACGAGCUUCUUAGGAGCACGCGUCGAGUUUCAAGGACCUUCCGGGCCGGUCUUGACCUCUAUCUUCUUA